UACGUAGGGUGCAAGCGUUGUCCGGAAUUAUUGGGCGUAAAGGGCUCGUAGGCGGUCCAUCACGUCGGGAGUGAAAAGCUGGGGCUUAACCCCAGUCCUGCUUCCGAUACGGGUGGACUAGAGGUAGGCAGGGGAGAACGGAAUUCCUGGUGUAGCGGUGAAAUGCGCAGAUAUCAGGAGGAACACCGGUGGCGAAGGCGGUUCUCUAGUACGGUACUGACGCUGAGACGCGAAAGCGUGGGGAGCGAACAGG
rnacentral:rRNA from 1 species